GAUUUUAACUGAAAAAGUCAUCAAUAACAGAUUUUUAUAACUCAUCAUGAUCUAUAACUUCUAUUUUGGUCAUUUCUUCAUCGGACAAAGUGAUUUACAAGAUGUAUAUUUUGUGAACAAUCUUAUAAAUCACUUUGUCCGAUGAAGAAAUGACCAAAAUAGAAGUUAUAGAUCAUGAUGAGUUAUAAAAAUCUGUUAUUGAUGACUUUUUCAGUUAAAAUC
rnacentral:pre_miRNA from 1 species